GCCAAGGUGGUGUAGUGGUUUGAACAUUGGACUAUGAUUCUGGAGAACAGGGUUCAAAUCUCUGCUCGACCA